GAUGAACGCUGGCGGCGUGCCUAAUACAUGCAAGUCGAGCGAACAGACGAGGAGCUUGCUCCUCUGACGUUAGCGGCGGACGGGUGAGUAACACGUGGAUAACCUACCUAUAAGACUGGGAUAACUUCGGGAAACCGGAGCUAAUACCGGAUAAUAUAUUGAACCGCAUGGUUCAAUAGUGAAAGACGGUUUUGCUGUCACUUAUAGAUGGAUCCGCGCCUCAUUAGCUAGUUGGUAAGGUAACGGCUUACCAAGGCGACGAUGAGUAGCCGACCUGAGGGGGUGUUCGGCCACACUGGAACUGGGACACGGUCCAGACUCCUACGGGAGGCAGCAGUAGGGAAUCUUCCGCAAUGGGCGAAAGCCUGACGGAGCAACGCCGCGUGAGUGAUGAAGGUCUUCGGAUCGUAAAACUCUGUGAUUAGGGAAGAACAAAUGUGUAAGUAACUAUGCACGUCUUGACGGUACCUAAUCAGAAAGCCACGGCUAACUACGUG
rnacentral:rRNA from 1 species